ACUCCUACGGGAGGCAGCAGUGGGAGUAUUGCACAAUGGGCGGCAAGCCAUGAUGCAGCCAUGCCGCGUGUAUGAAGAAGGCCUUCGGGCUUGUUAAAGUACUUUCAGCAGUGAGGAAGGUGGGUAUGUUAAUAGCAUACACAUUUGACGUUAGCUGCAGAAGAAGCACCGGCUAACUCCGUGCCAGCAGCCGUGGUAAUACGGAGGGUGCGAGCGUUAAUCGGAAUUACUGGGCGUAAAGCGCAUGCAGGUGGUUUGUUAAGUCAGAUGUGAAAG
rnacentral:rRNA from 1 species